rnacentral:miRNA from 1 species
CGCCGCCCGCUGACCCCCC